CAGUCGCCGCGGUAAUACAGAGGGUGCAAGCGUUAAUCGGAAUUACUGGGCGUAAAGCGCGCGUAGGUGGUUUGUUAAGUUGGAUGUGAAAUCCCCGGGCUCAACCUGGGAACUGCAUCCAAAACUGGCAAGCUAGAGUAUGGUAGAGGGUGGUGGAAUUUCCUGUGUAGCGGUGAAAUGCGUAGAUAUAGGAAGGAACACCAGUGGCGAAGGCGACCACCUGGAAUGAUACUGACACUGAGGUGCGAAAGCGUGGGGAGCAAACAGGAUUAGAUACCCCCGUAGUCCCUGUCUCUUAUAC
rnacentral:rRNA from 1 species